GAUGAACGCUGGCGGCGUGCCUAAUACAUGCAAGUCGAGCGAACAGAUAAGGAGCUUGCUCCUUUGACGUUAGCGGCGGACGGGUGAGUAACACGUGGGUAACCUACCUAUAAGACUGGGAUAACUUCGGGAAACCGGAGCUAAUACCGGAUAAUAUUUCGAACCGCAUGGUUCGAUAGUGGAAGAUGGUUUUGCUAUCACUUAUAGAUGGACCCGCGCCGUAUUAGCUAGUUGGUAAGGUAACGGCUUACCAAGGCGACGAUACGUAGCCGACCUGAGAGGGGGAGCGGCCACACUGGAACUGAGCAACGGUCCAAACUCCUACGGGGGGCAGCAGUAGGGAAACUUCCGCAAUGGGCGAAAGCCUGCCGGAGCAACGCCGCGUGAGUGAUGAAGGUCUUCGGAUCGUAAAACUCUGUUAUUAGGGAAGAACAUAAGUGUAAGUAACUGUGCACGUCUUGACGGUACCUAAUCAGAAAGCCACGGCUAACUACGUG
rnacentral:rRNA from 1 species